AAUCAACGCUGGCGGCGUGCCUCAGACAUGCAAGUCGAACGAUUAAAGCUCUCUUCGGAGAGUGCAUAGAGUGGCGCACGGGUGAGUAACACGUAAGUAAUCUACCUUCGAGUGGGGAAUAACGUCCGGAAACGGACGCUAAUACCGCAUAAUGCAGCGGCAUCGCAAGAUGACAGUUGUUAAAGGAGCAAUUCGCUUGAAGAGGAGCUUGCGGCAGAUUAGCUAGUUGGUAAGGUAAUGGCUUACCAAGGCUACGAUCUGUAACCGGUCUAAGAGGACGGUCGGUCACACUGACACUGAAUAACGGGUCAGACUCCUACGGGAGGCAGCAGUCGGGAAUUUUGGGCAAUGGGCGAAAGCCUGACCCAGCAACGCCGCGUGAAGGAUGAAGUAUUUCGGUAUGUAAACUUCGAAAGAAUAGGAAGAAUAAAUGACGGUACUAUUUAUAAGGUCCGGCUAACUACGUGCCAGCAGCCGCCGUAAC
rnacentral:rRNA from 1 species